rnacentral:rRNA from 1 species
AGUGAACGCUGGCGGUAGGCCUAACACAUGCAAGUCGAACGGCAGCACAAGGGAGCUUGCUCCCUGGGUGGCGAGUGGCGGACGGGUGAGGAAUACAUCGGAAUCUACCUUGUCGUGGGGGAUAACCUCGGGAAACCGGGACUAAUACCGCAUACGACCUUCGGUGAAGUAGGGGAUCGCAAGACCUUACGCGAUUAGAU